CAAGGAGGAGGUUUCUGACACAUCUGGCCUGGUGAGCUGAACCAGGUCAGAAAGGGCAAAUUAUAGAUGCAGGCAGAUCCAAUCGUCCAGCCCGGACCUUUGGCUCCUGAUACCAACAACGACGGAUACCCAGAGGGUUAAAAGUGGACUCAACAUGCCACUGCACAGUGGGCAGCCAGACAGGCUGUGUUAAGGACCAUCGGUAGGAUGCUGCAGGAGAACAGAAGCAUCAGAGAGAGACUGGUCUCCCUCAGCCAUAGCAUAGGCUAUACAUUGAACUCAGUCUGAAGACUAGAUUACAAUCUGGGAAUGAUACAUAGAUUAUGGAACUUCUCUUUCCCUCUCAAACUCAGGAAUGGAAUAUUUUUUAUUUGUUUCCCUUCAAUGUUAUGAUUUUGUUUUAACCAAGUUUAUGGACUACCUGGCAAAUGUGCUGAUUUGAGAUGGAAUGAAGAUGAGGUUAUUUAUGUUACCUGAAACUAAACCUGUACUGUACAUCUCGAGCAAUCUGUUCCUAUAGUUUCCUCUGGUUGAAGAAAUAGACUAAUAUACGUUGGUUUUGAUGGGGAACACACAGAUUUUUACUGUUGUCAACUAUUUUGACUGUUGUCAUGGGGAACAAAGAGUUCUGAAUUAAAACAACUUCUUGAGGAGAAAGUGUUGUUAAUUUCUGUUAUGUCUGGUGAGCUAUAACAGGUCAACCCACCCUCCUGGAGUGCUACUACUGGGUAUGAAGGCUGUUGCACCAGCCCUUCUUCCUCAUGGAGAACCUCACCUCUUUUUCCACUAGAGGGAAGUGUCUCUAUUUUGUGUGUGUGUGGGUGUGUUAGAUACUGUACACUCAGCCACCUAAAGGUAGAAUACACAGGUCAGCCACAGCUCAACUUUCUCAGUCAGAGGUUCUCAGUAGAGCCUGUGAGUGUCCAAAAUGGCACCUUAAUCCCUUUAUAGUGCACUACUUAUGAACAGAACCCUAUGUGUUUCUGUUCCCUGCUCAUUAUUAGUGAAUUAACAACCCACAGCCAACAUGUGGUUCUGUUUCCUGCUCCUUAUUAGUGAAUUAACAACCCACAGCCAACAUGUGGUUCUGUUUCCUGCUCCUUAUCAGUGAAUUAACAACCCACAGCCAACAUGUGUUUCUGUUUC
ensembl:lncRNA